rnacentral:lncRNA from 1 species
UAUGAGGCCGGGGUUACUAUACUCUUAUGAGUAUAGAGUCCUUAUACUCAUAAAUUUUCCGCCGUUGGAUGAAGUGAUACGUGAUUAAGAUGAUAGUAAUUCUCGGUUAGGAUAAUAAUGGUCCCUUACGGUUAAAUGGAUGGUUGAUUGAACAGUAUGAUCUAACGAAUGAAAAUAGUCAAAGGAGUAGAUCUAAUUGCCAAAAACUUAUGAAUAUAAAAGGGUUUAUACUCAUAAGAGUAUAGUAGCUGGACUCUAUAUAUAUGUUAU